UGAGGAAUAUUGGUCAAUGGGCGAGAGCCUGAACCAGCCAAGUCGCGUGAGGGAAGACGGUCCUAUGGAUUGUAAACCUCUUUUGUCGGGGAGCAACGAAGGCACGUGUGCCUGAAGCGAGGAUUACCCGAAGAAAAAGCAUCGGCUAA
rnacentral:rRNA from 1 species